rnacentral:lncRNA from 1 species
AGUUUGAGUCGAUGUGCCAGGAAACAUGCACUACCCCGGUGCAUCUCACUAAUAAAAAUGGGCCAGCCGGAGAUUGUGGAGCCAGUCCUCCGGAGGUGAACUCCUCCAGGCUACACAAUGUCCCAAGAGGAGUGAUUAUGAGAAAACUAUCAAUCACUGCGUUAAUAACACCCUUCUGAAGGAACUAACGAGAAAGCAAAUUGGAAGGUGAAAUUUUAUCUUUGUUUUCAAAUAAGUGGUCUUGAUUUUUCUUCUUAUAGAAAAAAUUUAAACGGUUACUAUAUAUACAUGUAUAUGCGUAUAUAGAGAGUUAAUUUGUGCAACUUUCAAAUAAAA